rnacentral:rRNA from 1 species
AAGACCUUGCGCUUUUGGAGCGGCCGAUGCCUGAUUAGCUUGUUGGUAAGGUAAAAGCUUACCAAGGCUUCGAUCAGUAGCUGGUCUGAGAGGACGACCAGCCACACUGGGACUGAGACACGGCCCAGACUCCUACGGGAGGCAGCAGUGGGGAAUUUUGGACAAUGGGGGCAACCCUGAUCCAGCCAUGCCGCGUGAGUGAAGAAGGCCUUCGGGUUGUAAAGCUCUUUCAGCCGGAACGAAACGGUUACGGUUAAUACCCAUGACUACUGACGGUACCGGAAGAAGAAGCACCGGCUAACUACGUGCCGGCAGCCGCGGUAAUACGUAGGGUGCGAGCGUUAAUCGGAAUUACUGGGCGUAAAGCGUGCGCAGGUGGUUUUGUAAGUCAGAUGUGAAAGCCCCGGGCUACAGCCUGGGAACU